UAUAGAGGAAUCAUAAUUCAGGAUGAGAAAGAAGGCAUCAUAUAUAAAUACAUUAUGGGGAAAUCCAGAUAAAAGUAAUAUACAUGUAAUUCAAGACUAUCUAUGUGUGUACAAUAUUAUUUUCAAACCCCUUUCCUAUAGAAUCCUUCACCUCUACCUUGGAUUUGCUUGCAUCCUAGAACGCAUGCCUCUUGGCAUGAUAAUUCAUCUGCAAAUCUUAUUUUCAUGCAAAUGGGAUUGCAUUGUUUCAAACACUCUGGAUAUGGCACCUUGCCAAUACUAACCUUGUCAGCCGUUAAGGGCACAUCUGCGUUUACCACCUCCGCCACCAUUAACAUGCAUAGAGCCAAGAUUAUUACCACACCUAAGGAGGAUUUGUUAGCCAUUGUUCUAGUUUAUUGUGUGCUAAAGAAAAGUAAAUUUAUCGAAAUACCAUGUAGAAUGAAAAUUC
rnacentral:lncRNA from 1 species